rnacentral:rRNA from 1 species
CAGCAACGCCGCGUGAGGGAUGACGGCCUUCGGGUUGUAAACCUCUUUUAGCAGGGAAGAAGCGAGAGUGACGGUACCUGCAGAAAAAGCGCCGGCUAACUACGUGCCAGCAGCCGCGGUAAUACGUAGGGCGCAAGCGUUAUCCGGAAUUAUUGGGCGUAAAGAGCUCGUAGGCGGUUUGUCGCGUCUGCUGUGAAAUCCCGAGGCUCAACCUCGGGCCUGCAGUGGGUACGGGCAGACUAGAGUGCGGUAGGGGAGAUUGGAAUUCCUGGUGUAGCGGUGGAAUGCGCAGAUAUCAGGAGGAACACCGAUGGCGAAGGCAGAUCUCUGGGCCGUAACUGACGCUGAGGAGCGAAAGGGUGGGGAGCAAACAGGCUUAGAUACCCUGGUAGUCCACCCCGUAAACGUUGGGAACUAGUUGUGGGGUCCAUUCCACGGAUUCCGUGACGCAGCUAACGCAUUAAGUUCCCCGCCUGGG